rnacentral:rRNA from 1 species
AGGGGAGUGAAAUAGAACCUGAAACCGUGUGCCUACAACAAGUUCGAGCCCGUUAAUGGGUGAGAGCGUGCCUUUUGUAGAAUGAACCGGCGAGUUACGAUAUGAUGCGAGGUUAAGUUGAAGAGACGGAGCCGUAGGGAAACCGAGUCUUAAUAGGGCGCAUUAGUAUCAUGUCGUAGACCCGAAACCAUGUGACCUACCCAUGAGCAGGGUGAAGGUGAGGUAAAACUCACUGGAGGCCCGAACCAGGGCACGUUGAAAAGUGCUUGGAUGACUUGUGGGUAGCGGAGAAAUUCCAAACGAACUUGGAGAUAGCUGGUUCUCUCCGAAAUAGCUUUAGGGCUAGCGUCGAUGUUAAGUCUCUUGGAGGUAGAGCACUGUUUGAUUGAGGGGUCCAUCCCGGAUUACCAAUAUCAGAUAAACUCCGAAUGCCAAUGAGAUAUAAUCGGCAGUCAGACUGCGAGUGCUAAGAUCCGUAGUCGAAAGGGAAACAGCCCAGACCACCAGCUAAGGUCCCAAAAUAUAUGUUAAGUGGAAAAGGAUGUGGGGUUGCACAGACAACUAGGAUGUUAGCUUAGAAGCAGCUAUUCAUUCAAAGAGUGCGUAAUAGCUCACUAGUCGAGUGACCCUGCGCCGAAAAUGUACCGGGGCUAAAACAUAUUACCGAAGCUGUGGAUACCUUUUAGGUAUGGUAGGAGAGCGUUCUAUGUGUGAAGAAGGUGUACCGUGAGGAGCGCUGGAACGCAUAGAAGUGAGAAUGCCGGUAUGAGUAGCGAAAGACAGGUGAGAAUCCUGUCCACCGUAUGACUAAGGUUUCCAGGGGAAGGCUCGUCCUCCCUGGGUUAGUCGGGACCUAAGGAGAGACCGAAAGGUGUAUCCGAUGGACAACAGGUUGAUAUUCCUGUACUAGAGUAUAUAGUGAUGGAGGGACGCAGUAGGCUAACUAAAGCGUGCGAUUGGAAGUGCACGUCUAAGCAGUGAGGUGUGAUAUGAGUCAAAUGCUUAUAUCUCUAACAUUGAGCUGUGAUGGGGAGCGAAGUUAAGUAGCGAAGUUAGUGAUGUCACACUGCCAAGAAAAGCUUCUAGCGUUAAUUAUACUCUACCCGUACCGCAAACCGACACAGGUAGUCGAGGCGAGUAGCCUCAGGUGAGCGAGAGAACUCUCGUUAAGGAACUCGGCAAAAUGGCCCCGUAACUUCGGGAGAAGGGGCGCUGGCUUUAAGUCAGCCGCAGUGAAUAGGCCCAAGCAACUGUUUAUCAAAAACACAGCUCUCUGCUAAAUCGUAAGAUGAUGUAUAGGGGGUGACGCCUGCCCGGUGCUGGAAGGUUAAGAGGAGCGCUUAGCAUUAGCGAAGGUG